rnacentral:rRNA from 1 species
AUAAGCCCAGUUCAUCUAGUGCCCGCCGCCCAGAAACACGAAGGGUGUAGGCUUUAUUUGAAUUAUGGGCCCAAAGCCCGCGUAGUUGUUCAGCAAGUAGGAGGAAAUCCCCGGGCUCAACUGGGAAGUGCAUCCAAAUUAUGAGCUAGAGUCCGUAGAGGGGGGGGAAUCUCCUGUGCAGCGAGAAAUGAGUAGAUAUGGAGGCACCCCAGUGGCGAAGGAGACCACCUGGAUUGAUACAGACAGUGAGGUGAGAAAGCGUGGGGAGCACACCGGAUUAGAUACCCGGUAGUCCACGCCGUAAACGAAGUGGACUAGCCGUUGGGAUCCCUGAGAUCUUAGUGGCGCAGCUAACGCGAUAAGUCGACCGCCUGGGGAGUACGGCCGCAAGGUUAAAACUCAAAUGAAUGAACGGGGGCCCGCACAAGCGGUGGAGCAUGGGGUUUAAUUCGAAGCAACGCGAAGAACCUUCCCUGGCCUUGACAUGCUGAGAACUUUCCAGAGAUGGAUUGGUGCCUUCGGGAACUCGGACACAGGUGCUGCAUGGCCGUCGUCAGCUCGAGUCCUGAGAUGGUGGGUUAAGUCCCGUAACGAGCGCAACCCCUGUCCUUAGUUACCAGCACCUCGGGUGGGCACUCUAAGGAGACUGCCGGUGACAAACCGGAGGAAGGUGGGGAUGACGUCAAGUCAUCAUGGCCCUUACGGCCAGGGCUACACACGUGCUACAAUGGUCGGUACAAAGGGUUGCCAAGCCGCGAGGUGGAGCUAAUCCCAUAAAACCGAUCGUAGUCCGGAUCGCAGUCUGCAACUCGACUGCGUGAAGUCGGAAUCGCUAGUAAUCGUGAAUCAGAAUGUCACGGUGAAUACGUUCCCGGGCCUUGUACACACCGCCCGUCACACCAUGGGAGUGGGUUGCUCCAGAAGUAGCUAGUCUAACCGCAAGGGGGACGGUACCACUGUUGAUCUUUUUCCA